rnacentral:rRNA from 1 species
UAAGGAAUAUUGGGCAAUGGACGCAAGUCUGACCCAGCCAUGCCGCGUGCAGGAAGACGGCCUUAUGGGUUGUAAACUGCUUUUAUCAGGGAAUAAACCCUUGUUUGUAAACAAGGCUGAAGGUACCUGAAGAAUAAGCAUCGGCUAACUCCGUGCCAGCAGCCGCGGUAAUACGGAGGAUGCAAGCGUUAUCCGGAUUCAUUGGGUUUAAAGGGUGCGCAGGCGGGCUAAUAAGUCAGGGGUGAAAUACUACGGCUCAACCGUGGAACUGCCUUUGAUACUGUUAGUCUUGAGUAUAGUUGAAGUGGGCGGAAUGUAGCAUGUAGCGGUGAAAUGCAUAGAGAUGCUACAGAACACCGAUAGCGAAGGCAGCUCACUAAGUUAGUACUGACGCUCAUGCACGAAAGCGUGGGGAUCAAACAGG